rnacentral:rRNA from 1 species
UACCCAAUCCUGACACAGGGAGGUAGUGACAAGAAAUAACAAUACAGGGCUAAUGUCUUGUAAUUGGAAUGAUGGUGACCCAAACCCUCACCAGAGUAGCAAUUGGAGGGCAAGUCUGGUGCCAGCAGCCGCGGUAAUUCCAGCUCCAAUAGCGUAUAUUAAACUUGUUGCAGUUAAAAAGCUCGUAGUUGAAUUUUAGCGUGUUCGAGUUUGCCAUUCGUUUGGCUUUUUCGAGUUCGCUUUUGGGUUUUCCCUUUUUACUUUGAGAAAAUUAGAGUGUUUCAAGCAGACUUUUGUCUUGAAUACUUCAGCAUGGAAUAAUAGAGUAGGACUUUGGUUCUAUU